AAAAGCUAGCAGUAUGGGGGUGCAGAGAUAUGCCCCUGUUGACGACUUUCUUAGUCGAAACAUGUCGGGUUUUGCAUCAUUGCACCCCAUACUGCUUUUAUUUUGCUCAUGUGAUCACUUUUACCAUUAUUUUUGUGUCAUUUUUUGUAUGACCAUUGUAUUCCAAUAAACCUUCAGUGUUUUUUUUUUAUGACCUACACCAUUUGGAGCAUUCUUUGUAUGAUUUUGUCAUUUUUGGAGUCCACACGGAUUUCCCCCACAUUCACUCUUCAGCGGAAGGACCACUGGCUCUCUACCCCAGCUCUCAGGACUUAACUCACAAAAGCCAUCCAGACCGUUUGGAUAACCUGCGAGACCUUACCGCAUCGACCCGGGUCUUUGUGACCACAAGCCCAUCUGACCCACUGUUGUAUAACAGAUGAGUCCAUCUCACAUGGUUUUAAUCAGGAGUCAGUAACCAAGUUUUAAGCCAAUAUGCAACAAAUUAUGAAGAGUGACAGGAGAAAGUAAAUCUGAAACAAAAUUACAGUAGAAAAAUGGAAGUGAAUA